AACGAACGUUAGCGGCGCGCUUAACACAUGCAAGUCGAACGAGAAAGGGCUUCGGCCCCGGUAAAGUGGCGCACGGGUGAGUAACACGUGGGUAACCUUCCCUUGAGCGGGGGAUAACGUUCCGAAAGGAGUGCUAAUACCGCAUAAGACCACGAUCUCGAAAGAGGACGAGGUAAAAGCAGGCCUCUGUACACAAGCUUGCACUCAAGGAUGGGCCCGCGGCCCAUCAGGUAGUUGGUAGGGUAACGGCCUACCAAGCCUAAGACGGGUAGCUGGUCUGAGAGGAUGAUCAGCCACACUGGAACUGAGACACGGUCCAGACUCCUACGGGAGGCAGCAGUGGGGAAUCUUGCGCAAUGGACGAAAGUCUGACGCAGCGACGCCGCGUGGGUGAUGAAGGCCUUCGGGUUGUAAAGCCCUGUGGGUGGAGACGAAUAAGUGUUGGCUAAUAUCCAGCGCGAUGACGGUAUCCACUUAGCAAGCACCGGCUAACUCUGUGCCAGCCGCCGCGGUAAUAC
rnacentral:rRNA from 1 species